rfam:Bacillus sp. OV166 genome assembly, contig: Ga0115450_11
GCGGGUGUGGCGGAAUUGGCAGACGCACCAGACUUAGGAUCUGGCGCCGCAAGGCGUGGGGGUUCGACUCCCUUCACCCGCA